rnacentral:snRNA from 1 species
GGUCAUGAACAUUUUGGCUGGGGCAUUUGUCAUCCCAUCGCACACAAGGGUUAUUUUGGUUAAUGUGGCUAGGCUAGGUGGAUGUCCUUUUUCUUCCUCACUGUUCCAUAUAUGUCCCCCCUGAAGUGUACACUCAGUAGAAGAAAAUGAUGUUUUUGCCCUCCAUGGCCUCCACUCUACUCGGUGAAAA